UACGGGGGGGGCAAGCGUUGUUCGGAAUUACUGGGCGUAAAGGGCGCGUAGGCGGUUCGCUAAGUUGAAUGUGAAAACUCUGGGCUUAACCCAGAGCCUGCAUUCAAUACUGGCGGGCUAGAGUUCUGGAGGGGAUAGCGGAAUUCCUGGUGUAGCGGUGAAAUGCGUAGAUAUCGGGAGGAACACCAGUGGCGAAGGCGGCUUUCUGGCCUGCUCUUGACGCUGAGGCGCGAAAGCUAGGGUAGCAAACGGG
rnacentral:rRNA from 1 species